CUGGUCUAAAUACUUUUCCAGCUAUAUUGAAUAGUCUCUCAACGGGAGCUGAUAUGGCAGGUAUGGCUAAAUGCUUUUUGGCUAAUGUUGAAAGAAGAGAAAAUCUGCUGCUAUUCACUUGCCAAAACAUUAAGGGGUUUUCUGUCAUCUCUACACAGGGCUCAUAAAUAUAGUCAUUCACUUUAUUAACCAAACCAGAAGGAUUUCUCUUUCUGGUGGUAGGGGUUGAUGGCAUAAAACUGAAAAAGUCUUCAGUUUUCACUUUUUUACAAGGUGAACUAUACUCAAAAUCUACUCUCUUUUUCAAAAUAUCAACAUAUUUG
rnacentral:lncRNA from 1 species